rnacentral:rRNA from 1 species
UACGAAGGGGGCUAGCGUUGCUCGGAAUGACUGGGCGUAAAGCGCGCGUAGGCGGACCUGCAAGUCGGGGGUGAAAGCCCGAGGCUCAACCUCGGAACUGCCUUCGAUACUGCGGGUCUCGAGUCCGGGAGAGGUGAGUGGAAUUCCUAGUGUAGAGGUGAAAUUCGUAGAUAUUAGGAAGAACACCAGUGGCGAAGGCGGCUCACUGGCCCGGUACUGACGCUGAGGCGCGAAAGCGUGGGGAGCAAACAGG